rnacentral:rRNA from 1 species
GACGAACGCUGGCGGCGUGCUUAACACAUGCAAGUCGAACGGAAAGGCCCUGCUUUUGGGGGGUGCUCGAGUGGCGAACGGGUGAGUAACAAGUGAGUAACCUGCCCUCGACUUUGGGAUAACUUAAGGAAACUGGGGCUAAUACCGGAUGGGAGAUCCUGCUGCAUGGUGGGGGUUGGAAAGUUUCGGCGGUUGGGGAUGGACUCGCGGCUUAUCAGCUUGUUGGUGGGGUAGUGGCUUGCCAAGGCCUUGACGGGUAGCCGGCCUGAGAGGGUGACCGGCCACAUUGGGACUGAGAUACGGCCCAGACUCCUACGGGAGGCAGCAGUGGGGAAUAUUGCACAAUGGGCGGAAGCCGGAUGCAGCAACGCCGCGUGCGGGAUGACGGCCUUCGGGUUGUAAACCGCUUUCGCCUGUGACGAAGCGUGAGUGACGGUAAUGGGUAAAGAAGCACCGGCUAACUACGUU